GACGAACGCUGGCGGCGUGCUUAACACAUGCAAGUCGAACGAAGUGGCGCACGGGUGAGUAACGCGUAAUCAACCUGCCCUUCAGAGGGGGACAACAGUUGGAAACGACUGCUAAUACCGCAUACUGAAGGAGGGGAUUGCGUCUGAUUAGCUGGUUGGGGGGGUAACGGCCCACCAAGGCGAUGAUCAGUAGCCGGGCUGGGAGGGUGAACGGCCACAAUGGGACUGAGGAACGGCCCAGACUCCUACGGGAAGGAGCAGUGGGGAAACUUCCGGAAUGGGCGAAAGGCUGACGGGGCAACGCCGCGGGAGUGGUGACGGCCUUCGGGUUGUGAAGCUCUGUUAAUCGGGACGCGGUACCGGAAUAGAAAGCCACGGCUAACUACGUGCCAGCAGCCGCGGUAAUAC
rnacentral:rRNA from 1 species